rnacentral:rRNA from 1 species
AUCGAACGCUGGCGGCAUGCCUUACACAUGCAAGUCGAACGGUAACAGGUCUUCGGACGCUGACGAGUGGCGAACGGGUGAGUAAUACAUCGGAACGUGCCUAGUAGUGGGGGAUAACUACUCGAAAGAGUGGCUAAUACCGCAUGAGAUCUACGGAUGAAAGCAGGGGAUCGCAAGACCUUGUGCUACUAGACCGGCCGAUGGCAGAUUAGGUAGUUGGUGGGAGAAAAGCUGACCAAGCCGACGAUCUGUAGCUGGUCUGAGAGGACGAUCAGCCACGCUGGGACUGAGACACGGCCCAGACUACUACGGGAGGCAGCAGUGGGGAAUUUUGGACAAUGGGUGAAAGCCUGAUCCAGCAAUGCCGCGUGCAGGAUGAAGGCCUUCGGGUUGUAAACUGCUUUUGUACGGAACGAAAAGCCCCGGGUUAAUACCCUGGGGUCAUGACGGUACCGUAAGAAUAAGCACCGGCUAACUACGUGCCAGCAGCCGCCGUAA